AUGAAAAGAGGGGGUUGGAUUCGUCCCCCGGUGGGUUUUGUGAAACUUAAUGUUGAUGCUUCUUUUGAUCAUGAUCUUCUUAAAGGUACGGCGGGGGCUGUCCUGAGGAACGACAAAGGGAAGUUUAUUGCAGGGGGUACUUGGAAAAUUGAUCAUUGCAUCGAUGCUCUAACAGCGGAAGUUUGGGCUCUCAGAUUCGGUCUUUCACUAGCGCAACGUGCGGGUUGCAAUCGCCUAGUUAUUAAUUCUGAUAAUUUGGAGGUUAUUGAAACGAUGAAUAACGGCGGACGGUCAGCAGGAGCGGCGGUGGCAAUCUUUGAUGAUUGCUAUUUUUUGACGUGUGAUUUUCCUACCUCUAGGUUUGAACAUUGUAAUAGGGAAGCCAAUAAGGUUGCGCACGAGCUUGCUAGGUUGGCUAAAUUUUCUUCUACCAUUGAUUGGUUUGAGGAGCCUAUGUUUGAGAUUGUACCUUUCCUCACAAACGAUGUAUCUGUUAUUUCCGUUGAAUAA
rnacentral:rRNA from 1 species